rnacentral:rRNA from 1 species
UGCCAUGGCCUAGUGCUAUUUAAUAAGACUGAACGGGUGUCCGUUGCAAGGGACUCCGAAGAGCUGUGGCAAGGGGUGAAAAGCCAAUCUAACCUGGAGAUAGCUGGUCUUCUGCGAAACCCGUUUUAGCGGGUCGCCCAUUUAUUGAAAUUAAAUUCGUUACUAGACGGUACGGCACUGGAAGCCACGCAGCUUUUGCUGCAUAAUCGGGGGGCUGUCAUGGCUCUAUCGAUGGCUUCUAACCCCGGAAAUGUAUAGUAUACAAUGAUGGGCAAUCAGACGUAUCGUGAUAAGGCGAUUCGUCAAAAGGGCAACAGCCCAGAACAGGUGUGAAGGUCCCCAACAAGCUACUGAGUGAACACAAGGCAGUCCUCUCCAGUGUCUCUCCACAAAGUGGGCUUGGGAGCAGCCACCUUUUAGCGAUAGCGUAACAGCUCAGUGGUCUGAGCCUCCCUGUAAAAAGGGAAUAUUGCCUGGUGAGGGCGCCAAAAAUGUAACGGGUCUAUAGUAGUUGUCUCUCUGUUCCAGCUUUGGAUAUGGAGGGAGUGGCAGUUUCUUCACUGUCUCACCGAAACCCUGUCCUAGAUGUAAAAUUCUAGGGGUAGCAGAAUACCCAGCAAAUGGAAUGAAGCUUGCUCAUUGAGCCGGUGGACAUAGCUGGGCUAAGAAUGCCGACAUGAGUAGCCUAAAAGGAGGGUAAUUCCCUCUUCGCCGAAAGCAGAAGGGUUUCAUUUGUAAGGUCUAUACCUAGAUGAUUAAAGCAGCGGCCUCUAAGGUUCAGAGUAACAAAUUAGUUCCGAUGAGUAACUCUUCUAUAGGGCAGUAACCUUCCUUAUAAGUUUACCUUCAAGUAAUUAGAGGUAUACUUCAAAGAGUAAGGUUCGGGAAAGAGCCCUACAGAAUCAAUCUUAAAACCGUACCCUAAACCGACACAGGUCUGCAAGUAGAGCAUACUAAGGCGUAGAGAUAAUCGUCUUGAAGGAACUCGGCAAAAUGACCCCGUAACUUCGGGAGAAGGGGUGCCACUAAUAAGUGACGGCACUAAACAGGGGGGCGCGACUGUUUACUUAAAACACCGGACUCUGCUAACACUAGCGUGGAUGUAUAGAGUCUGAUACCUGCCCG